AUUGCAGACGGAGUCUUGUUCACUCAGUGCUCAAUGGUGCCCCGGCUGGAGUGCAGUGGCAUGAUCUCCGCUUGCUACAACCUCCAUCUCCCAGCAGCCUGCCUUGGCCUCCCAAAGUGCCGAGAUUGCAGCCUCUGCCUGGCUGCCACCCCAUCUGGGAAGUGAGGAGCGUCUCUGCCUGGCCGCCCAUCGUCUGGGAUGUGAGGAGCGCCUCUUCCCGGCCGCCAUCCCGUCUAGGAAGUGAGGAGCGUCUCUGCCCGGCCACCCAUCGUCUGAGAUGUGGGGAGCGCCUCUGCCCCGCCGCCCCGUCCGGGAUGUGAGGAGCGCCUCUGCCCCGCCGCCCCGUCCGGGAUGUGAGGAGCGCCUCUGCCCGGCCGUGACCCCGUCUGGGAGGUUCCCUGCUCAGAUGGAGAGUUAAACGUAAUAGUAAGGCCAGGUACAGUGGCAUAAACCUGUAGUCUCAGCUACUUGGGAGGAUCCCUUGAGCCCAGGAGUUCAAGACCAGCCUGGCAAGACAUAGCAAGAUCCUAGCUCUUUAAAAAAAAAUAGUAAUUCCCCUUCCUCAAAAUUAUAUUAAUAAGGCUACUUCAUCUGGACAUUCAUCAGUCUCAAGGUAUGGUUCAUCUGGAGACAGAAUCAUUCCUGCACUUGGUACUUUUGGAGUCUGUUUAUUCACCUCACAAUUUUAAGUACUUUAUAUUUAACAAAAUACAAAAACUGGGUGCUUUCAUAAAUGUUUUCUCAUCUAAUUCUUGGAACAGCUUAGUGGAGUAUUUAAUAUUAUCCCCCAUUUUACAGAUGCAGACCUCUGUUGAAUGACUGCCAGACGUAAGGGUUCUGCUUUGAGAAACUGAUAGAAUCCAAUUUAUGUUCUGUAGAUUAUGCUGUUUCCAUCUCACUUCAAUAAAUACUUAUCAAGCACUUACUUGUGUUCAGCACUGUUCUAUACACUCAAGA
rnacentral:lncRNA from 10 species